ensembl:lncRNA
GUCCAGCCUAUGUGUCUAAAUAGUCUGUCGUGAUUGGUGCAAAAACCGGCCAAACGCUUCCCAUUGGCCACCCGGUGUACUCUGGCUCUCGGUGAUUGGCCGGCUGUGUCUGAGAACCCUUCGUCUCUUUGUGUCGCUGCUGCUGCUGUCUGGGAGCCGCGAGGGGUCUGAGAAAGGGGGAGAGGGCGUGAGGCCACGAACAGACAGAAAGACACCGAAGGGAGAGGGGGGGGACCGACCUAAAGAGAAACGGAGGGGGUGAGAACAAGGCAGAGGGGGGGAGAGAGAGAGCGAGGGAGGGAGAGACUGACAAUGCAAAGGGGUGUUAACUCAUCUAGGGCAGCCAGUGCACUCGGAGGCGCGAGGGAGAAGUUGUGGGAAAGUAAAUAGUGCGCGAGGCAGGAGGAUUCCACUCGGGCUCGUGCCACUUGCUGCCCUCGCGCGGGAGAGAGAGAGAGAGACCAGGGAUGGGUCCGAGAGACACGGCCGCGUGACUCAAACCGGGAGGUUUAUAUGGUGAACGCGCCGGGAUACGGAGACCCGCGAACAGGAAUAUUGGCCGAACCUGAAGGAAUUACCCGCAAAGCACAAGGAGGGAUGAUGUCCACCGUGGUGCCCCGGCCACCCCAGAAGGAGGACGAGGAGGAAGAGGAGGACGAAGAGCAAGGAGAGCCGUUUGAGUUUGACGACAGCGCCGACGAGAGUGUUCCUGAAGACGCCGUCGUAAAGCCCCCCCCCUCAACAGCUGAGGCCGCCGACUUGACGACCGAAAAGGUCAAGUGUGAAACGCAGUCAGAGGCCCCAACCGAGGGCAGCGCUGAUCCUCACUCCCAGCAGCCCUGUGUCCACGGCUCCGAUGUCUCCCCCUGCUGGCCAGGAGGGGAACUCCUCCUCGGACGCCCCCCCAACCACCAGCACAGAUCAGCAUCUGGGAGACUCCAGUCGGGCCUCCAUCAACCCCACCACCUCCUCCUCCACCUCCUCCUCCUCCGCAGCAGCAGCGGACCAACCGAGUGCCGCGACUCCUCCUCCUCUUCCUCCUCCCGCCGAGGAAGAGGAGUCCUGCACCUCCCCCGGGGAGGGGAGCCUCGCCCCGGAGGAGCCCUGCGAAGGAGACGCCACGGUCAAGGACGACUGCAGGCUGAGGGAUGACUCUGAAGUGCCCCACAGUGACAGUCUUGAGGUGAUCUAUGAUGACGUCCCCACUGAAUACCUCCCACUAUCUCCUGAUGAAGAGGAUGUGAUCUAUGAAGACGUUCAGAGAGGUGGUCCAGUCAGUGCUGAUAACGGCUGGAGCUCCAGUGAGUUUGAGGACUACGACGACCAGUCUGACAAUGAAGCCAAAGUCCCCACACGCACCAAGCUGUCCCCUGAGGUGCGUGGGCUGAGAGAGCGCUGUGCCAGGACCAAACGUGAGCUAGCGUCGCGUCUCGGCGCCAACUAUGACACCAAGGUAUCGUCCGCCCGCCGGGACCCACCUCACCCCACUGCAGAGCUUCAUUAGAUAUUUAUUCAUCUUCUUACGCUCCAUGUAAAACGUCCCAGGACGAGUGAAGAGCACACUCUGUGACGGGGCAAAGGAGCUCUCUGAACCCUCUGAGGGAACCGUCUGAGUGUGCACAGAACACGAUGUGUGCCGCUGGGUAAAGAUGUACUGCAUGUACUGCAUGGUUUGACCGACCUCCACUCCGACUGUGGCUGACCGCUCCCUGCAGCCCUCUCACCUGCUCUGGGUGCUCUAGUAAUGAUCCAGAUGACUCUGUUCUCUCUCUGUUUCUGUGUCUAUCUCUGUGUCUCUCUCUCUCACUCUGUCUCUUCUCUGUCUGUCUCUCUCUCUCUCUCUCUCUCUCUCUCUCUCUGUCUCUCUGUCUCUCUCUCUCUGUCUGUCUGUCUGUCUGUCUGUCUGUCUGUCUGUCUGUCUGUCUGUCUGUCUGUCUGUCUGUCUGUCUGUCUGUCUGUCUGUCUGUCUGUCUGUCUGUCUGUCUGUCUGUCUGUCUGUCUGUCUCUCUCUCUCUCUCUCUCUCUCUCUCUCUCUCUCUCUCUCUCUCUCUCUCUCUCUCUCUCUCUCUCUCUCUCU